rnacentral:tRNA from 1 species
UCCCUGAUAGCUCAGUUGGUAAAGAAUCUGCCUGCAAUGCAGGAGACCCUGGUUCGACUCCUGGUCAGGAAG